AGUGAACGCUGGCGGUAGGCCUAACACAUGCAAGUCGAACGGCAGCACAGGAGAGCUUGCUCUCUGGGUGGCGAGUGGCGGGCGGGUGAGGAAUACAUCGGAAUCUACUCUGUAGUGGGGGAUAACGUAGGGAAACUUACGCUAAUACCGCAUACGACCUACGGGUGAAAGCAGGGGAUCUUCGGACCUUGCGCGAUUGAAUGAGCGGAUGUCGGAUUAGCUAGUUGGCGGGGUAAAGGCCCACCAAGGCGACGAUCCGUAGCUGGUCUGAGAGGAUGAUCAGCCACACUGGAACUGAGACACGGUCCAGACUCCUACGGGAGGCAGCAGUGGGGAAUAUUGGACAAUGGGCGCAAGCCUGAUCCAGCCAUACCGCGUGGGUGAAGAAGGCCUUCGGGUUGUAAAGCCCUUUUGUUGGGAAAGAAAUCCAGCUGGCUAAUACCCGGUUGGGAUGACGGUACCCAAAGAAUAAGCACCGGCUAACUUCGUGCCAGCAGCCGCCGUAA
rnacentral:rRNA from 1 species